rnacentral:ribozyme from 1 species
UGCCCAGCAACUCCUAUCCCUACCUCCUCGUGGUACUGGCAGGGAUACGAGCAGCCUCAGGGAAGA